GACGAACGCUGGCGGCGUGCCUAAUACAUGCAAGUCGAGCGAAUGGAAGGGAGCUUGCUCCCUGAAGUUAGCGGCGGACGGGUGAGUAACACGUGGGCAACCUGCCUGUAAGACUGGGAUAACUUCGGGAAACCGGAGCUAAUACCGGAUACGUUCUUUUCUCGCAUGAGGAAAGAUGGAAAGAUGGUUUCGGCUAUCACUUACAGAUGGGCCCGCGGCGCAUUAGCUAGUUGGUGGGGUAAUGGCCUACCAAGGCGACGAUGCGUAGCCGACCUGAGAGGGUGAUCGGCCACACUGGGACUGAGACACGGCCCAGACUCCUACGGGAGGCAGCAGUAGGGAAUCUUCCGCAAUGGACGAAAGUCUGACGGAGCAACGCCGCGUGAGCGAAGAAGGCCUUCGGGUCGUAAAGCUCUGUUGUCAGGGAAGAACAAGUGCCAGAGUAACUGCUGGCACCUUGACGGUACCUGACCAGAAAGCCACGGCUAACUACGUGCCAGCCGCCGCCGUAAAAC
rnacentral:rRNA from 1 species